rnacentral:rRNA from 1 species
CCUGCCCAAGAGAUCGGGAUAACACCUGGAAACAGAUGCUAAUACCGGAUAACAACAGAUGAUGCCUAUCAACUGUUUAAAAGAUGGUUCUGCUAUCACUCUUGGAUGGACCUGCGGUGCAUUAGCUAGUUGGUAGGGUAACGGCCUGCCAAGGCGAUGAUGCAUAGCCGAGUUGAGAGACUGAUCGGCCACAUUGGGACUGAGACACGGUCCAAACUCCUACGGGAGGCAGCAGGU